GAUGAACGCUGGCGGCGUGCCUAAUACAUGCAAGUCGAACGCACAGCGAAAGGUGCUUGCACCUUUCAAGUGAGUGGCGAACGGGUGAGUAACACGUGGACAACCUGCAUCAAGGCUGGGGAUAACAUUUGGAAACAGAUGCUAAUACCGAAUAAACUCAGUGUCGCAUGACACAAAGUUAAAAGGCGCUUUGGCGUCACCUAGAGAUGGAUCCGCGGUGCAUUAGUUAGUUGGUGGGGUAAAGGCCUACCAAGACAAGAAUGCAUAGCCGAGUUGAGAGACUGAUCGGCCACAUUGGGACUGAGACACGGCCCAAACUCCUACGGGAGGCUGCAGUAGGGAAUCUUCCACAAUGGGCGAAAGCCUGAUGGAGCAACGCCGCGUGUGUGAUGAAGGCUUUCGGGUCGUAAAGCACUGUUGUAUGGGAAGAACAGCUAGAAUAGGGAAUGAUUUUAGUUUGACGGUACCAUACCAGAAAGGGACGGCUAAAUACGUGCCAGCAGCCGCCGUAA
rnacentral:rRNA from 1 species